CGUAGGGACCGAGCGUUGUCCGGAUUCAUUGGGCGUAAAGAGCUCGUAGGCGGCUGCUCAAGUCGAAUGUGAAAACUCGAGGCUCAACCUCGAGCCUGCAUUCGAUACUGGACGGCUAGAGUCUGGUAGGGGGAUCUGGAAUUCCUGGUGUAGCGGUGGAAUGCGCAGAUAUCAGGAGGAACACCGGUGGCGAAGGCGGGAUCCUGGGCCAGUACUGACGCUGAGGAGCGAAAGCGUGGGGAGCAAACAGGAUUAGAUACCCUGGUAGUCCACGCCGUAAACGAUGGGCGCUAGGUGUGGGAGGUCAUCGACUCCUUCCGUGCCGCAGCUAACGCAUUAAGCGCCCCGCCUGGGGAGUACGGCCGCAAGGCUA
rnacentral:rRNA from 1 species